CUUCUGUGAUGACUGUUUCUUUGUGCCACGUGUCUGGGCCACUGAUUAUUUAUGAUGGUUUGAGGAACUGAGAAG
ensembl:snoRNA